rnacentral:rRNA from 1 species
UGGCGGCGUGCCUAACACAUGCAAGUCGAGCGGGGACUUACGACUGAAUUGAAGACUUCGGUUGAAUAUGAAGAUGUAAAGUUCUAGCGGCGGACGGGUGAGUAACGCGUGAGCAACCUGUCCCUUACAGGGGGAUAACACAGCGAAAGUUGUACUAAUACCGCAUGAGACCACGGAGUGACAUCAUUCAGGGGUCAAAGGAGCAAUCCGGUAAGGGGUGGGCUCGCGUCCGAUUAGAUAGUUGGUGAGGUAACGGCCCACCAAGUCGACGAUCGGUAGCCGACCUGAGAGGGUGAUCGGCCACAUUGGGACUGAGACACGGCCCAAACUCCUACGGGAGGCAGCAGUGGGGAAUAUUGGGCAAUGGGGGAAACCCUGACCCAGCAACGCCGCGUGAGGGAAGAAGGUUUUCGGAUCGUAAACCUCUGUCCUUGGUGAAGAGGAAGAGACGGUAGCCAAGGAGGAAGCCCCGGCUAACUACGUGCCAGCAGCUGC